UACGUAGGGGGCGAGCGUUGUCCGGAUUUAUUGGGCGUAAAGAGCUCGUAGGCGGUUUGGUAAGUCGGGUGUGAAAUCUCCACGCUCAACGUGGAGGGGCCACUCGAUACUGCCAUGACUCGAGUCCGGUAGGGGAGCGUGGAAUUCCUGGUGUAGCGGUGAAAUGCGCAGAUAUCAGGAGGAACACCAGCGGCGAAGGCGGCGCUCUGGGCCGGAACUGACGCUGAGGAGCGAAAGCGUGGGGAGCAAACAGG
rnacentral:rRNA from 1 species